CCUACGGGAGGCAGCAGUGAGGAAUAUUGGUCAAUGGGCGCAAGCCUGAACCAGCCAAGUCGCGUGAGGGCUGACGGUCCUAUGGAUUGUAAACCUCUUUUGUCGGGGAGCAAGGCCCGCCACGUGUGGCGGGAAGGAGAGUACCCGAAGAAAAAGCAUCGGCUAACUCCGUGCCAGCCGCAGCGGUAAUACGGAGGAUGCGAGCUUUAUACGGAUUUAUUGGGUGUAAAGGGUUCGUAGGCGGAAGGUUAAGUCCGCGGUCAAAUUUCGUUGCUCAACACAUGCCUGCCGUUGAAACUGGUCUUCUUGAGUGAGCGAGAAGUAUGCGGAAUGCGUGGUGUAGCGGUGAAAUGCAUAGAGAUCACGCAGAACGCCGAUUGCGAAGGCAGCAUACCGGCGCUCAACUGACGCUGAGGCACGAAAGCGUGGGGAUCGAACAGGAUUAGAUACCCCGGUAGUC
rnacentral:rRNA from 1 species